UGACCUCUGACCCUAACUGAGGAAGUGAGGCCUGCAGACACUUACAUGCUGGAGCCUCCAGAAUGAGUCAGGAGCUCUUGGAGUGUUUUGCUGCUCCAGCUUUACCCAGUCAGCUGUGAGGGGAAAGCUAAAGCUGCUACGGAUCUGAACUGCCAGUGAGAUUUGGGCCAUGAAGUUUGUCAUGCAGUGAACUGUGGAUGGAAUUGCUGCCAGAGCCAUCGGUGUGGAGAAUUUAUCAACCUCCGCAGCACUUCCAGUACUCCCAGUAGGGAGUUUUCACAGCUUUUCCACAGGUGCAGAGUGGCUUCCACACACCAGGAAACAGAUGUUAACAUUUGUGGGAUUUUAGUGAAGUUUGUCGUUUUAGGUGGAGGUGUUUGCAGGGCUGCAGUUGGCCCAGUUGGGUUGAACAGCGCUGUGAGAGAUGCUCAAAGCUUUGGAUGUUGUUGUAGAACCUAACCCUGCUCUAAACUAGUCCACAACGUUCGCCUUGACCUGCUGGGUUUCCUCGGUCUUCAUGAUCCUGGUUGUUCUCUGAUGUUCGCAAUAAACCUUUUGACAUCUUCACGGAACAGUUGCUUUAAUACCCAGAUAAAAUUACACACAGGUGGACUCAGUUUACUUUAAUCGGUGUGGAAGUCAUUUGAUUUUCUCAGGUUUUAGCGAAAAAAGAAUCUAGGUUUAUUUCUGUUGUCCACUAAUGAGACCCUGCCUGUUUAUGUUUCCUCUUUUAUUGAGGUGAAUCACACAUGUUGGGACAGCAUGUUCAUUCCAUGGAGGUUUACAAGGCUUUUUGGAGCUGUUUUUGGGGGAACCCAACCAAGUGACUCUUUGGAGUCCUAUCCACCACAGGAUCUGCUUCCCAGAUGUUUGGAUUGUCUCUGUGAACGUCCUAUGAUGGUUUACCACAACGUUUAUCCACGGUUAGACUGACAGAAAGUCAGCGAGACAGCUUCCCCUAAACCUGAUAAAACAGAGAACCACUUAGCUGCUUCUUGAGGUUUUGUCAUUUUCCUGGUGUUUUCCUCCAGCUGACCUCAGAAGAGACCCAUUAACAAAAAUGCAGAAAUAUUAUCUGCCAAAGUAGUAGUGAAGCUGAAAACGGCUCGUUUGGGACUGAAAUGAUGAAUGGAUGAUAAAGGAUUUGUAACAUCCUCCAUCAGUGUGCUUGUUGGGUCGAAUGAGCGAACACAGACCUCACCCUCCUUCAAUUUCACCUGGAGGACGGUGAACAGCCGCGAAUCCGGUGUGUUGGUGAUGCAAAGCCAAAGUCUUAGCCUGUCACUCAGCAGAAGGUGUUUCUGAUCGUCUUUUUUCCCCCGGCUAACGGAGGGAGAGCGUCUCUGGGUCUUUAGUUUGAAACAGGUCUGACUGAAAGCCUGAACAGAGACGCCUGGGAGAAGAAUCAGACUCCAAACAUCUGAGUGAAAACGUCUGACUGACGAUGAGGAGAAACGACCUGCAAUCAGAUCCAAGAUGGAGGAGAAGCUGGACGAGCUCAACAAGACAUCCAUCCAUCAUCCAUCUUUCACCUUCUAUUCUUUUUUCCUAUUGUCCAUUCAUUGCUCAUCCAUCUACACCAUCAUAGUUUUUGUUUACCCAUCCAUCCAU